GCCAGCUCUCCCGUACGUCGUCCUCAUCUCAUCCCAACGAUCCAACACCCGCUUUCACACGUAACCCUCUGCACCAAGUCUCGCACCCUUCCUGCGUCGAUUCUUGCACCUAAUCGUACGCCAGUCCUCGUAUCAAUCUCAUAAGUCGACCGCUCUCAUUCGUGCGCUCGUUCACGCUUCUCCAACGCACAAACCCUCACCUAUCUGGCUCGUGCUAGCUUCGAUACUGGUCCUUACGGGCAAGUGAGCUGGCCUGGCACUCACGUCGCCUGCUUGCGCAUUCGUACGCUCUCCCAAGCCAGUGUUAGGGCAUUCUACGUAGGACUGUGGGCGUUGAAAUCCCCGAGAAUUAGACAUCGUCCCCUAAAGAUAGGGUCCCAAUUGAUGUCUAUAAGGGCUCUCCAGUUACGCCGAGUUGCCCUAACGUACGUGUGAGAGGCCCCUAGCCAGCUGUCAUAGCAAUUCACCACUCUAGUGCUUCUUCCACUCUCCACCACGUCCACCACCAUAAAAUAGGGGUGGUUAGCGAGGGGUUCCUAGAGCUUAGGGGCGCUUCAUUGAUAGUUAAGGGAGAAUACUAGUCUGCUUCCUUAUCCAUAUCAGGUUGCCUAGUGCUUGGAAAGCCUAGAGGCUCACUUGUAGUUAGCGUCGGUUCCUCCCUAGUCUCUGGGGACUUU
rnacentral:lncRNA from 1 species